rnacentral:rRNA from 1 species
CAAUAGCGUAUAUUAAAGUUGUUGCAGUUAAAAAGCUCGUAGUUGGAUUUCUGAUCGAGACAUCAGGUCGGGUCCGAGAGGAUCAUGUACUUUGAUUUUGUUUUGAUCAUCCUUGGGGAGAGCAUUUCUGGCAUUCAGUUGUCGGGAUUGGGAUCCUCAUCGUUUACUGUGAAAAAAUUAGAGUGUUCAAAGCAGGCCUCGGCCUCUGAAUACAUUAGCAUGGAAUAAUAAGAUAGGACUUUGGUGGUCUAUUUUGUUGGUUUGCACGCCAAAGUAAUGAUUAAUAGGGAUAGUUGGGGGUAUUCGUAUUCAAUUGUCAGAGGUGAAGUUCUUGGAUUUAUGGAAGACGAACUACUGCGAAAGCAUUUACCAAGGAUGUUUUCAUUAA